UGGCUCCCGCAUCGAUGAAGAACGCAGCGAAAUGCGAUAAGUAAUGUGAAUUGCAGAACUCAGUGAAUCAUCGAAUCUUUGAACGCAUCUUGCACUCCAUGGUAUUCCGUGGAGUAUGUCUGUUUGAGUGUCAUGAAACUCUCAAUCCCACCACCCUUUGUCUAUCAAAGGUGGCCAGGGCUUGGAUCAUGAGCGCCUGCUGGACCUGUGCAUCAGCUCGCUCUAAAUUUAUUGGCAGUCUGCUACUCUUGCUCCUGCAGCUAGCGGAUCUGGUGUGAUAGUCAUUUAUUCAUCAGGUUUGUUGUGGGGAUUGUAUGCAUGGCUCUUGCCCUCAAUAUUGCCCUUGUGGCAAAAUACCAAGUGUUUGACCUCAGAUCAGGCAGGGCUACCCGCUGA
rnacentral:misc_RNA from 1 species